rnacentral:rRNA from 1 species
CCUACGGGCGGCAGCAGUGAGGGAUAUUGGUCAAUGGGCGCGAGCCUGAACCAGCCAAGUAGCGUGAAGGAUGAAUGCCCUACGGGUUGUAAACUUCUUUUAUAAAGGAAUAAAGUGAGGCACGUGUGCCUUUUUGUAUGUACUUUAUGAAUACGGAUCGGCAAACCCCGUUCCAGCAGCCGCGGUAAUACGGGGGAUCCGUGGGUUAUCCGGAUUUAUUGGUUUAAAGGGAGCGUAGGUGGGUUGUUAAGUCAGUUGUGAAAGUUUGCGGCUCAACCGUAAAAUUGCAAGUGAUACUGGCAGUCUUGAGUACAGUUGAGGUAGGUGGAAUUCGUGGUGUAGCGGUGAAAUGCUUAGAUAUCACGAAGAACUCCGAUUGCGAAGGCAGCUUACUAAACUGCCACUGACAUUGAUGCUCGAAAGUGUGGGUAUCAAACAGGAUUAGAUACCCGGGUAGUC